rnacentral:rRNA from 1 species
CCUACGGGAGGCAGCAGUGGGGAAUUUUGGACAAUGGGCGAAAGCCUGAUCCAGCAAUGCCGCGUGAGUGAAGAAGGCCUUCGGGUUGUAAAGCUCUUUUGUCAGGGAAGAAACGGUGAAAGCUAAUAUCUUUUGCUAAUGACGGUACCUGAAGAAUAAGCACCGGCUAACUACGUGCCAGCAGCCGCGGUAAUACGUAGGGUGCAAGCGUUAAUCGGAAUUACUGGGCGUAAAGCGUGCGCAGGCGGUUUUGUAAGUCUGAUGUGAAAUCCCCGGGCUCAACCUGGGAAUUGCAUUGGAGACUGCAAGGCUAGAAUCUGGCAGAGGGGGGUAGAAUUCCACGUGUAGCAGUGAAAUGCGUAGAUAUGUGGAGGAACACCGAUGGCGAAGGCAGCCCCCUGGGUCAAGAUUGACGCUCAUGCACGAAAGCGUGGGGAGCAAACNGGAUUAGAUACCCUGGUAGUCCACGCCCUAAACGAUGUCUACUAGUUGUCGGUUAUUAUGUACGUUGUACGNAGCUACGCGAGAGUAGACGCG